AGUGCUGAGCCCUGGGCAAGUGUCUCCAGACAUCCCUACCUUUUCUCCCUUUUAUUAGUUUUCUUUCCCAACAGAACCCAUUUACUUUGCCACUAAAACUAGGUUGCAUCCAAAAGUUUCUAAACAAGCUUAAAAAAGAAAAAUUGACACCAUUAUACAGAAGAAUUCACAAAAGCUGCAGAGCGCCAGGGCAGAGAAGCAGCGACAGACACAGGCCCAGGACACACAGGACGGAUGUUUCCAAGUCACUCGAGGGACACAUGCCUGUGUCUCAGAAGUUGCUUCCCUGCCUCUACUCUGUGAAUUUUCCAAACUCUCUAACUCUGAUUCAUCUUCAUUCACUCUUCCCUGUAGUUUGUGUGUAAAGAGCCCUUAAAGCAAUAUGGUGGAGGGUAAGAGUUGUGAGCCGGUGGCAGGCAAGGCCUAAACUUGGUACAGCAAAGGAAAUUUCGUGGUACUUGCUCCUGAGUCUGGGAAUCACAGGCUAGCCAGCCUCUCCCCUAUUACUAGGAAACAGUAGAACUUAGGGAAAUGGAUGAUUCCAUGUUUAAGAGGCCUGAAAUUGUAUACUUGGCAUUUCUGAUUUCAGUUCUAAAAUUCUGUCCCUUCGUCAUAGAGAAAAUGAGAAAUGUAGUUACAACUUUUCAUUACAAAAACGUUGCAUUAAGAGAAAUGGAGAAUCAUGCCCACAUAAAACAUGUAUAGAAGUGUUCAUGAUUUGAUCAGGGCUGGGGAUAUAGCUCAGACAUCCGGUGCUUGCACAGCAAUGUGCAUAACCCAAGGUUCAAGCCCCAGCACUGACAAAGAGAAGCAGAAGGAGCGGGGUUAUUCACAGCAGCCUUUUCAAUAUAGACAUGAAAGGGAGAGUUUAAGUGCCGGUUGAGGAAUGGAGAGUGUAAAAUGGCUUGUCUAUAAAACUGGAUUCUGGUCAUCAGUAGAGAGGUCUGAAGUGAUAGAUAUGGUGGAUGAGUCUUUAAACAUCUUCCUGAGUAAUGAAGCCAACCGGAAGAAAGGCAGAUACUCUGUAUCUCUGGAGUAUAUAGGUAAACCAUUAUAGAGAAAAAGCACCAUACUGGUUACCUGGACUUGGAGUGAUGAACAGACUUUGGGAGACAGCAGAGUGGAACAGAAUUUACUUGAGUGGUGAUAAAAAAAAAAAGUUCUUGAAUUAACGGAAGUGAUGCUUGCUCCACUUGAUUGCUGCAUUUAAAAACCACUGAAUUUUACCUUUGGAUGGGUGAAUUCAUUGUAUUUCAAUAAAGCCAUGAAUAU
ensembl:antisense Gm11266 predicted gene 11266